rnacentral:lncRNA from 1 species
GAAUAUAAGUAUAUAUUACGGAUUACAAAUGUGUCGGGGCUUGUGAUUGGAUAACAACACAGAGAUGUCAGUGUAUAUUCAGGAAACUGCCGGGAUAUAUAGGACGUUUUUAUCCCCAAUUGGAACCUCAAAAACGUCAUCAUAACACCGGUUACUAUGUGACGUAGUCAAAAGCUAUCAGAUUGUCAGAGGCUCACAGAG